rnacentral:rRNA from 1 species
GCUUACGGCCAUACCACCCUGAACACCCCGAUCUCGUCCGAUCUCGGAAGCUAAGCAGGGUCGGGCCUGUUAGUACUUGGAUGGGAGACCGCCUGGGAAUACCAGGUGCUGUAAGCU